GACGAACGCUGGCGGCGUGCUUAACACAUGCAAGUCGAACGGAAAGGCCCUGCUUUUGUGGGGUGCUCGAGUGGCGAAAGAGUGAGUAACAAGUGAGUAACCUGCCCUUGACUUUGGGAUAACUUCAGGAAACUGGGGCUAAUAACGGAUAGGAGCUCCUGCUGAAAGGCGGGGGUUGGAAAGUUUCGGCGGUUGGGGAUGGACUCGCGGCUUAUCAGCUUGUUGGUGGGGUAGUGGCUUACCAAGGCUUUGACGGGUAGCCGGCCUGAGAGGGUGACCGGCCACAUUGGGACUGGAAUACGGCCCAGACUCCUACGGGAGGCAGCAGUGGGGAAUAUUGUACAAUAGGCGGAAGCCUGAUGCAGCAACGCCGCGUGCGGGAUGACGGCCUUCGGGUUGUAAACCGCUUUCGCCUGUGACGAAGCGUGAGUGACGGUAAUGGGUAAAGAAGCACCGGCUAACUACGUG
rnacentral:rRNA from 1 species